rnacentral:rRNA from 1 species
AUGCACGCUGGCGGCGUGCCUAAUACAUGCAAGUCGCGCGAACGGACGAGAAGCAUGCUUCUCUGAUGUUAGCGGCGGACGGGUGAGUAACACGUGGAUAACCUACCUAUAAGACUGGGAUAACUUCGGGAAACCGGAGCUAAUACCGGAUAAUAUUUUGAACCGCAUGGUUCAAAAGUGAAAGACGGUCUUGCUGUCACUUAUAGAUGGAUCCGCGCUGCAUUAGCUAGUUGGUAAGGUAACGGCUUACCAAGGCAACGAUGCAUAGCCGACCUGAGAGGGUGAUCGGCCACACUGGAACUGAGACACGGUCCAGCCUCCUACGGGAGGCAGCAGUAGGGAAUCUUCCGCAAUGGGCGAAAGCCUGACGGAGCAACGCCGCGUGAGUGAUGAAGGUCUUCGGAUCGUAAAACUCUGUUAUUAGGGAAGAACAUAUGUGUAAGUAACUGUGCACAUCUUGACGGUACCUAAUCAGAAAGCCACGGCUAACUACGUG